AACACGUGGGUAACCUGCCUGUAAGACUGGGAUAACUCCGGGAAACCGGAGCUAAUACCGGAUAGUUCCUUGAACCGCAUGGUUCAAGGAUGAAAGACGGUUUCGGCUGUCACUUACAGAUGGACCCGCGGCGCAUUAGCUAGUUGGUGAGGUAACGGCUCACCAAGGCGACGAUGCGUAGCCGACCUGAGAGGGUGAUCGGCCACACUGGGACUGAGACACGGCCCAGACUCCUACGGGAGGCAGCAGUAGGGAAUCUUCCGCAAUGGACGAAAGUCUGACGGAGCAACGCCGCGUGAGUGAUGAAGGUUUUCGGAUCGUAAAGCUCUGUUGUUAGGGAAGAACAAGUGCAAGAGUAACUGCUUGCACCUUGACGGUACCUAACCAGAAAGCCACGGCUAACUACGUGCCAGCAGCCGCGGUAAUACGUAGGUGGCAAGCGUUGUCCGGAAUUAUUGGGCGUAAAGGGCUCGCAGGCGGUUUCUUAAGUCUGAUGUGAAAGCCCCCGGCUCAACCGGGGAGGGUCAUUGGAAACUGGGAAACUUGAGUGCAGAAGAGGAGAGUGGAAUUCCACGUGUAGCGGUGAAAUGCGUAGAGAUGUGGAGGAACACCAGUGGCGAAGGCGACUCUCUGGUCUGUAACUGACGCUGAGGAGCGAAAGCGUGGGGAGCGAACAGGAUUAGAUACCCUGGUAGUCCACGCCGUAAACGAUGAGU
rnacentral:rRNA from 1 species